GAGGAGGGGACAAGGUUGGGGAUUGGAGGGGGGGGUUUCAAAGUUGGUGUAGGGAAGAGGACUGGCAGGGCACAGUCCCCUUGGGGCAGGUCAAGGGAUGGGUUACUCUUCAGCACAACAUCAGUGUGUAUAGGGCAGGGCAGCUCCAACCUGUGUCUGGCGUGUACUUCGUGUUGUCUGUUUUCUGUGUCUCAGACUGUAUGUUCCUUGGGUCUUGGUGCCUCCAUAGCCUGGUGAUCAGCAGGCACCUUGGUAGCCCUCCCAAGAGUCCGGAAUGCAUCACUUCACUGGCACAGAGCCUGUUGAGCCCUUCUCAUCUCACAAUUACAGCUUGACGCGUGGAUCUCUUUGGCGUGUGUCACAUCCUGGCUGUUUCUGAGCGUUCAUCUCUUGUGGUGGCCAGCCAGGUGCUGCCCGCAGCUCUGCUCUUGAGUCUUCUGUUUCCACAGAGUCAUCUUCUGGGGUUUCAUCCCCGUGUCCUCACUGGUCUUAGGUCUUCCAGCUCAGCUUCUCACACAUCCCUUAUUCUGGUUUUGAUGGCAGCUUUCUCUUGUGUGCGGCGGCAAUUGCCUCUCUUUGGCAGGUCUGCUUUAGAGCAUCCGUGCCAUCGUGGCACCGCAGGGCUUCUCUGCCGGCAUCAUCUUCCCUAUGGGAAUUGUUCUCCUGUCCUGUGGUCUUCUCAUGUAUCGUGGUCACAUUGCUGUGCUUGAUAAAGUGGAAUCUUUCACUGAGCAAGGACAAGAGAGUCACAGAAAGUUACAGAGUUCUUGUGAAACAAAGAUCCUGCUGUUCAAACAAGAAGAUGAGGAGGUACUUGCUUUGCUUAAAAUGUGGCAAAACUGCCAAAGUUGCUGUAGGUGAGUGAUCUCUUCUGCUUGCUGCAAGAUCAUGAAUAUGAAAACCCCACCUCCAGCACUUAGGCAGCCCACCUCCAACUGAAGACCCCCACUCACUGUGUGUGCUGUAGCUCUAAAUCAGAGCGAGACAUUCACUAACCAAUCAGAGUAGAAUAACUGAAUAUGUAUUAGGUGGAGGAAACUAACCAAAAGUGUGUGAAUGUGUAGAGUUUUGUGACUUCAAGGGGCAGCUUUGCAGCUUACCACCUAGCACCUCAUUUGUGCAAACAUAAAAUAAAUGAAAAUACCUUGGCUCUGUAUGUAUUUUGGCAUCUUGCACACCAGGUGAAUGACCCCACUUUUGGUAUAACAAGGUAUAACACUCGUGGCAUCCGUGUGUAGUCCUGGUCUGUGUGUGAGGGUUGGAGCUGCCCUGCCCAGGGGUGCAGCAGUAUUGAUGACAGGGUAGCGUAGCUUUAUGGGGGUGUGGAAGUAAGUUGGUUUGGACCAGUUCUGUUGGCAGAGACCAUACGGUCCAUCUCUGGGCGAACAGGUGUAGGCAGCUGCCACAGUUGUGUUUUCUUUACGGUCCGGGGCUAGGAUUGGAUCCAGCCGCACCUAGACUCCUCUGAGAAGGAGUUUAGAAAGCAAGGGGGUCCAGUCUGAACCUUGUGACUGGUUGGGAGCAGCAGUUAGUGUGGAAGGGGAGCGGGUCAGAUCUGGAAGGUGCCUUUGCUUGCACAGAUGGGGCUCCCUAGCUGGGUUUUGUUCUUCUAGCUGUAGUGAGAAGGUAUAUGCAAAAGGCAGAGAGACCUCUCGUCUCACCAAGCUACCUGUGGCUGUGCAGGUGACUUGCUUUACAGGGUGUGUUUGUGUUGUUUCAGAUGCAGAGCAACAAGCAGCACGGCCAAGGGCACGGAAGAGGGGAGCAGAGUGCUGGAUGAAGAAGGACAGUCAUGCAGCUCCGGAGUAUCGGCAGGACAGCUGGUGGUUCUGACAAGCUGGAGCUUCUCUGGCUGGAUUUUCUGGGUGUGAAUCCAAGUGUGAAGCGAGAUGUUAUCAGCAGAGUGGCCUCUGGCAAGGUGUUGGGGUUUUUAUUUUGGAGGCACAAGGCCAGGAGCACAGCAGGACAUCAGCACUGCAGGUGACUCGGGGGAGGUGGUACACAAGCCCUCCUAGUCCCCUGGGGUCCCCGCCUGGAUGAUUCAGGAUGGCCUGGUGCUGUGCAUUGCAUUUCCAGAGACAAACAGCAGCUUGGCAGCCUGUGGUCAGGACUCUGGAGAGAUUUGAGAAGGCCCCAGAGCACCUUCUGCAUCCUCUCUCAGUCAGCAUGUGAGUGAAGUGAUGCAGGAUUCCCACCUCUGUGCUGGCCCCACGUGCCGUUCUUUUCCCCUGUGGUUCCAGACUGUCAGCAUAGGAGAGACUUGCUUCCCCUCCAGGUCCAAGUGUUUCCCAGUGUAUGAGGGACCUGCCACAGAACCUGAGCUUUCCUGCUGCAUUGACUGAAGAGCUGCAUAACACUUAGAGCCUGGUGUAGGUUGGCUUCUUCCUGCUAAGAAGCCAUUUCUUUACAAAAUGCUUUUCUUUGUCUAAGAUGGAGACAUACAAGUAGUGGUGACCAGAUCUGUGCUUGAAAAUGGACUUGAUGGAAAGUACCAAACUUGUCUUCUGUUGCAAUCCAUAAUGAUUUUUUUGGCCUCUUUUUUUUGUACUGCUUCUCAAAUACAGUUUUCCAGCCUUUUUUUUAAAUUUAAGCAGCCAUUGAAAGAAAAACCAGCACUCAGAAUAUUGAUGGAAAAAUAAUUGUGAACAAUUUCAAAACUUCACAGAUUUGUUUAUAAGAUUAAUUUAUUUGAAAAAGUGACACACUUGUUGCUAAUCAAUUAAUAACAAACUAUUUUCACUGCAUAAUGGAGUCACAAGCUGCUGUCCUCAGACCCUGAUCUCUGGGAGGCUCUUUGUAGAAAAUCAUGCAUAGGAAUAGGAUCAUCCUCUAGGAAAGCUGGGAACACUGUGGUUCAUAAAUUGGAAUUUUUUGUGGAGUAAAACCUGGCCGUGUUGGACAAGCCUCCUGGAAAUACCCCUGCUUUCCUAGGAACUUGCUGGAGAAAUCCCCAGGCAGACUGACCAUGACACCUGAAGCAGAUACCAGCCACCGGUGUGUUCAGAUGCUGAAUGAAUAUUUCUGAUGUUCCCUUUGAACUGCUGGAAACCUGCCAGAGUUAAAUCCUAUCUUUCAUUUCUGGAGCUUUGCUGUUUUCCUUAUUUUUUUGCCUAAGGUGCAUGAUCUGAGGUGUUAAGUGUUUGAACUUGGACUGGAAGAUGCAGUUAAAAUACUCGUCUUUAUGCAGAAAGCAACCAGGGAAGACAUUCCCAAGUGUAAGUGUGGUAAUUAAUAAGAUUGUAAUGAUGAGAAAAUCAGACUUUCUUCUGGAAAUCGCUAGCAAGUUACAACCAAAGAAAGAAGUGGAUGUCAGGAUAAGGAACCCUGUGACCAUAUGGCAUUGGAAGACAUGCAUUAGGUGUUCUCUCUGUGGUUUGGCUUGACAAAACCAGUGUGGAAAAGACAGCUGAGGAGGUUCUGCUCCUCUGUCUCAUGAUAGAAGAGGAAAAUGAUAAUGAAAUGUGAAACUCUGAAGUAGCUCAGCAAAUUUCAGUGUUCUGCUUAUUACAGGGACAACUGAAAUUCCCCAUAUAGAUUCUGUGCUUUAAAAUACAACAAUUCAAAUGAACAAAACUGAUCUCAGCUGGUGCAUUUCUUGACCAAGUGGGGUUCUAUGGUCUCUCUGAGCAGCCUAUCAGCUGAACUGCUGGGAUUUUCCAUUUCUUGGUGUUUUGUUUUGUUUUGUUUUUUUUAAUUUUUACAUGACUAAGAGUGAGUUAUGUGGAAAAUCAACUCCAGGAAGCUUAUCUCAGUGGAACCCAAGAAAAAGUAACAUGCAUAAAUUAGGGUGAACUAUAUCCUGAGAUGAGCUUCACUAAUCAGGUUAAAAGAAGAUACAGAGACCUGAGAGUAUUUUAAUGUUACAUAAA